UGUGACCUCAUUUUGCUCAGGUUUUCCAGA
rnacentral:piRNA from 1 species